CCUACGGGGGGCUGCAGUGAGGAAUAUUGGUCAAUGGACGAGAGUCUGAACCAGCCAAGUAGCGUGAAGGAUGACUGCCCUAUGGGUUGUAAACUUCUUUUAUAUGGGAAUAAAAUGUUCCACGUGUGGGAUUUUGUAUGUACCAUAUGAAUAAGGAUCGGCUAACUCCGUGCCAGCAGCCGCGGUAAUACGGAGGAUCCGCGCGUUAUCCGGAUUUAUUGGGUUUAAAGGGAGCGUAGGUGGAUUGUUAAGUCAGUUGUGAAAGUUUGCGGCUCAACCGUAAAAUUGCAGUUGAAACUGGCAGUCGUGAGUACAGUAGAGGUGGGCGGAAUUCGUGGUGUAGCGGUGAAAUGCUUAGAUAUCACGAAGAACUCCGAUUGCGAAGGCAGCUCACUGGACUGCAACUGACACUGAGGCUCGAAAGUGUGGGUAUCAAACAGGAUUAGAUACCCUAGUAGUC
rnacentral:rRNA from 1 species